rnacentral:rRNA from 1 species
GAUGAACGCUGGCGGCGUGCCUAAUACAUGCAAGUCGAGCGAACAGACGAGGAGCUUGCUCCUCUGACGUUAGCGGCGGACGGGUGAGUAACACGUGGAUAACCUACCUAUAAGACUGGGAUAACUUCGGGAAACCGGAGCUAAUACCGGAUAACAUGUUGAACCGCAUGGUUCAACAGUGAAAGACGGUUUUGCUGUCACUUAUAGAUGGAUCCGCGUCGCAUUAGCAAGUUGGUAAGGUAACGGCUUACCAAGGCAACGAUGCGUAGCCGACCUGAGAGGGUGAUCGGCCACACUGGAACUGAGACACGGUCCAGACUCCUACGGGAGGCAGCAGUAGGGAAUCUUCCGCAAUGGGCGAAAGCCUGACGGAGCAACGCCGCGUGAGUGAAGAAGGUCUUCGGAUCGUAAAACUCUGUUAUUAGGGAAGAACAAAUGUGUAAGUAACUAUGCACGUCUUGACGGUACCUAAUCAGAAAGCCACGGCUAACUACGUG